CAGAGAGGCAAUUCCUGGUACUUCAGAGUAUUUAUUGAUCAAAAGAGUUCAUGAGGGUUCUGGACAGAUGCUCCGUAGGCCCACUGGACCACUGCUGAGUAUAUGUUCUUGGGCAAGUAAAACUUGAGAUUGUUGAAGUACAGCCUGUCUUUAAGAGUUGUCCCUUUCUGUUUCCAGCUUGUGGUUUGUUUGUUUUUUCUUUCUUUCCAGGGUCAGUAGCUUGCUCGUUAUUCCUUCGGGAGCUUGAUGUCUGUGGGUAGGAUCUUACAUGGUGAAUAUGGGAGUUUCUUCAGCAGACACUUUUCUGUCCACUUCCCUUAGUGCACUUACAACUUAUUGAACAACUUAGUCAGCCAGAGAGUUGCCACAUGCUUUCUCUGAGAUCAGUCUUCCUUCAGAGAUCUUGCAUGCUGUGAUGGGAGCCUAUAGCUCAGCUUCUU
rnacentral:lncRNA from 1 species